UUAAAUCAACUCUCAUGAAUUGAUUAUUGAGUCAGACUCUAUCAAUGCUGUGAAGUGGUCUUAUAAUCCAGCUCUUAUUUCUUGGCGCUCGAAAAAUUUUAGUAACUUCAUCUACUGUGUUAAGAGGAAGAUCGUCUGUUGUGCACAUCCCACGUUCUGGAAACAUGUUUGCUGACCAUCUUGCAAAAGCUGGAUUCGAUCGUGCUGCCGAUCUAUUGAGAAUUUACAGCUAAACUCCCGCUUUGUCUUUCUUUUUUGGGAUUCUUUUUGUGCUGAAUUUGUCUGGAUUUUCUUUUUGGGUAUUGCCUUUGUUCUUGUUGCCUUGACAAUUG
rnacentral:lncRNA from 1 species